rnacentral:lncRNA from 10 species
AAGCUCCACCUCCCGGGUUCACGCCAUUCUCCUGCCUCAGCCUCCCGAGUAGCUGGGACUACAGGAACCCGCCACCACGCCCGGCUAAUUUUUUUGUAUUUUUAGUAGAGACAGGGUUUCACCGUGUUAGCCAGGAUGGUCUCGAUCUCCUGAUCUUGUGAUCCGCCCGCCUCGGCCUCCCAAAGUGCUGGGAUUACAGGCAACAGACACCGCGCCGGGCCAGGAGUAUGUGUUUUAAAUAAUCUGCAAAAAAUAUGCUCAGGCUAAUUUUUUUUUUUUUUUUAAUUUUUAGAUGGAGUUUCGUUCUUGUUGCCCAGGCUGGAGUGCAAUGGAACGAUCUCGGCUCUCUGCAAGCACCGCCUCCCGGGUUCAAGCGAUUCUCCUGCCGCAGCCUCCCCAGUAGCUGGGAUUACAAGCAUGUGCCCAGCUAAUUUUCUAUUUUUAGUAGAGACAGGGUCUCUCCAUGUUGGUCAGGCUGGUCUCCAACUCCCGACCUCAGAUGAUCCGCCCGCCUCGGCCUCCCAAAGUGCUGGGAUUAGAGGCAUGACCCACCACGCCCGACUAAAAUGUUUAUUAUAGUGAAAUUUGAUUAGAGACGUGAAUGAUCUAAGGGAGAAAACCACAGAAAAAUUUUGACAAGAAGGGUUUUUGCAAGAUGGCAAGAACAGUGUCCCUAGAGGAGGAAUAAGCACACAUUUGGGCAAUGCUGAGAAUGCUAGUCGGCCAAAGAAUAAAUGAAGAGAGGAACGGGCUGGGAGAAUAGGAGAAGAGGUCCAAGACGCAGGCAGGGGUAAAUCUGGGAGAGCUUUUUAUCUAUGGCAAGGAGUUUGGACUUUAUUCUGAAUGUAAUUGGAAACCACUGGGAGGCUUUGAUCUAUGAUAUGACUUCAUGUCUUAAAAAAAAAAAGUCACUAGGACACUUCUGUUGUGUACUGGCUAUUGAUCUUGCAGCAUAACAGGAAUAUAACCCUGGAUGUCAGUAAGUUAGCUUUCAGGAUACUUCAGGAGGCUUAGCCUAGGGAGGUUGCUUAAGGUUGUGAGAAGGGGUCGAGUUUAUACUGUGCUUUGAGCAUCAAUAUUAGGAUCUGAUGUUGAUGGAGCAGAUGGGAUGUAUCACUAAGAAAAAUAAGGAUGACUCCAUGGAGAAGCAGGUUUUGGAGGGAAGUCUAUCGUUCUGGUUCGGACAUUUGAAGUUAGGCAUACCCAUUAUUCAUCCAAGUGGAGAUGGCUUAUAGAUGGUUGAACAUACCAGUCUGGGGCUCAGGGAACAGUCAGGGCUGUGGGUAUCACUGAAAGCCAUAGGUUUAUGUAAUAUUCGCUAGUGAGUGAAUAUACAUAAAGAGAAGAGGGCCAAGGAUUUAGCACUGGGACAUUCCAACAUUUAAAGGACAGAAAGAAUAUGAGAAGUCUGGAAAAGUGACUGAAAACAAGCAUUCAAUAUAAUGCAAGGAAAACCAGGGGAAUGGAAUAUCCUAGAAGAUGCAUGGAAAAACUUGUUUCAGAAGUAGAAAGACAACCUUUAAUGCCCAAUGCUGCUGAGAUCAAGUAAGUAAAGGCUAAGAAUAGUCUUUGGAUUUGGCAGGAUGGAGACCUUUGGUGACCUUGGUAUAGUGAGUUUGAAAGCCUGGAUGAUGUCAGUUUAGGAGAAUGUGGGUGGUGAGGAAAUGGAGAUAUGAAAUACACACAACUCUUAUGUCAUUUUCUGGAAAGAUUUUACACUUCGACUCCCAUACAGUUUUGAACCUAACUCUUUUCCAGACCUCCUUGAUCUUGAACUUCCAAUCUUUCUCCUUCCAGGUCCCUGAACAACCAGCCAAGACAGUAACUACAGCCUGUGGACAUUUCAUCCAGGCCACUUCAUUUUUCCUACAAAGUAGACAACCAGGUGCAUCAUGCCUAAAGUUCUGCCCACUGGGAAGAAUACUCUUCACUACUGUCUUUCAAGGUCAUCCCUGAGUUAAGCAGCAGAGCAUCUUCAUUUCAUCUGUGCAUAUAUUAAGCACUAGCUUUUUCCUCCUCUGCUAGCUGGCCAUACAGGACUCUGUACAGCCAUAGAAAUGCAGGAUUGAAUGCCUCUGAGAAGAACCGCCACAAUCUAACCAUCUUGUCAAUUCCAUUCCCUGGAACCUCAGGAGUUGAGUCUUCCUACCAGUUUCACGGAGUCCACAUCAGCCUUCUUUUUCUAUUCCUCGAUCUUCCAUUUCAGACAGUGUUGGUAAUUGGUUUUUAAUCAGUUCAUUUACCUGAAUGAUUUAUACUGCCUCAGGUAGGCACAAUUUAAUGACACCCAUUAUAGUGCUUUAGAUUAUUUCACAAAUAGAUAUGCUGUUGUCCUUCAAGAUUGAAGAUCCAUGCAUAUGAGUGUUAUCAUUCAUACUUCUCUGAUGUAAAGUCCAGUGCAUGACUGACAAUGAUAAGAAAUGAUAGUUUACCACGUGUGAACUAUGUAGCAGGCAUUUUGCUAAGUGCUUUAUACGCAUUAUCUUAUUUAACAGACAUUUUCAUAGAACAGAAGUAAACAGAAUCAAUCACUGUCCAUGGAGUUGCAUUUAUUUUGUAUAGAGGCUAUUUACAAUUGUUUCUUCUCUAUUUCUCAGAUGACCAAUUCUUUGCUCAAAAUUGUCAGUUCACUUUGAGCAUUAAUAACAAACUGAGAAAAUCACUAAACCAACUAGGUAAGAAAUCUAGGUUCAUUCUUGAUUCUGGCAAUAACUGUGAGAACUUAAUUCAGUGACUUAACCUUUGAGUUUAGACCAG